rnacentral:rRNA from 1 species
UACGUAGGGGGCUAGCGUUAUCCGGAAUUACUGGGCGUAAAGGGUGCGUAGGUGGUUUCUUAAGUCAGAGGUGAAAGGCUACGGCUCAACCGUAGUAAGCUUUUGGAACUGUAAGACUUGAGUGCAGGAGAGGAGAGUGGAAUUCCUAGUGUAGCGGUGAAAUGCGUAGAUAUUAGGAGGAACACCAGUAGCGAAGGCGGCUCUCUGGACUGUAACUGACGCUGAGGCACGAAAGCGUGGGGAGCAAACAGG